rnacentral:lncRNA from 1 species
GUUCAGCGAUGAAGCCACCAUAUAUGGAAACAAACCGCUGCAUGAUCGGAGGUCUCUCUGCGGCGGCUGCUGUGAAUCGCGCCCACGCGUCAGCCACGCACUGCCUCGCGAUCUUCCGAUUAGCGAGGCAUUCGCGCCACACUUCGCCUCGUUUGCAAUGGGCCGCACGAAAUCGCCGGUCCGCGCCAGCCAAUACAUCGCG